rfam:Triticum aestivum genome assembly, contig: Triticum_aestivum_CS42_TGACv1_scaffold_146544_2BS
AUAUUACUCCCUCCGUCCGAAAAUACUUGUCAUCAAAAUGAAUAAAAGAGAAUGUAUCUAGAUGUAUUUUAGUUCUAGAUAUAUUCCUUUUUGUCUAUUUUGGUGACAAGUAUUUUUGGACGGAGGAAGUAUAUG